rnacentral:ribozyme from 1 species
UGCCCAGCAACUCCAUUCCUACCUGCACGCGGUACCGGCCGGAAACUAUGAGCAACCUUAGGGAAGAUCGGGUAACCAACCCCGGUGGGAACUUUGGUCGUAGGCUGACAGGGAAGG